rnacentral:rRNA from 1 species
AGUAUUGCGCAAUGGAGGGAACUCUGACGCAGCGACGCCGCGUGAGCGAUGAAGGUCCUCGGAUCGUAAAGCUCUGUCCUUGGGGAAGAAUGCUGUUGAAGAAACAGCUUGACGGUACCCGAGGAGGAAGCCCCGGCUAACUACGUGCCAGCAGCCGCGGUAAUACGUAGGGGGCAAGCGUUGUCCGGAAUUAUUGGGCGUAAAGGGUGCGUAGGCGGCCUUUUAAGUCAGAUGUGAAAGACCACGGCUUAACCGUGGGGUUGCAUUUGAAACUGGAGGGCUUGAGUAUCGGAGAGGGUAGUGGAAUUCCCAGUGUAGCGGUGGAAUGCGUAGAUAUUGGGAGGAACACCAGUGGCGAAGGCGACUACCUGGACGAAAACUGACGCUGAGGCACGAAAGCUAGGGGAGCAAAC